rnacentral:rRNA from 1 species
GUAGGUGGCAAGCGUUGUCCGGAAUUAUUGGGCGUAAAGCGCGCGCAGGCGGUCCUUUAAGUCUGAUGUGAAAGCCCACGGCUCAACCGUGAGGUCAUUGGAAACUGGGGGACUUGAGUACAGAAGAGGAAAGCGGAAUUCCAAAGUGUAGCGGUGAAAUGCGUAGAGAUUUGGAGGAACACCAGUGGCGAAGGCGGCUUUCUGGUCUGUAACUGACGCUGAGGCGCGAAAGCGUGGGGAGCAAACAGGAUUAGAUACCCUGGUAGUCCACGCCGUAAACGAUGAGUGCUAAGUGUUAGGGGGUUUCCGCCCCCUUAGUGCUGCAGCUAACGCAUUAAGCACUCCGCCUGGGGAUACGGCCGCAAGGCUG